rnacentral:lncRNA from 1 species
UGGCACAGGGAAGAACGCAGUCCAGAAGUCCUUAAAAAAGUACCCAUUGUUGAACCAGGCCCUCUGAAGUUAGGGCCCCACAAGAACAAAAUUCCACAAUCCCAGCAGUGCUACCUAAUGUCGCCUGGCUCCCCGAGGUAAGGCCUCCUGUGUAGAAAAGAGCUCUCACAGCACGCCUGAGACUUCUCUUCCUAGAAAAGCCUGCUGCAGGGGAAGGAGCAGACAGGAGAAAAUAAUAGAAUAUACCAUUUAUGCUGGGAAAUGCAUUGAGUCAACUUAAUUGCUCUACAGAAACCCUGGGCUUAAAUACUAACACCAUGAAGGACAAGAGUCUGUGUCUCCCCUCCCAAGAAGACAAAACAUGGCUAACUCAAAAACCACUGGAAAAGUGAGUAAUUUCUUAUCAAAGCCAAGCCAUUCAGUAUUAUUUCUGUGGCUGCCAGUGUUGUUUCAAAUAAG